rnacentral:rRNA from 1 species
UACUAACGCUGGCGGCGUGCCUAAUACAUGCAAGUCGAGCGAAGUUUUUCUGGUGCUUGCCCUAGAAAAACUUAGCGGCGAACGGGUGAGUAACACGUAAAGAACCUGCCUCAUAGACUGGGACAACUAUUGGAAACGAUAGCUAAUACCGGAUAACAGUAUUUCUCGCAUGAGAGAUAUUUAAAAGUUGGUUAUGCUAACACUAUGAGAUGGCUUUGCGGUGCAUUAGCUAGUUGGUGGGGUAAAGGCCCACCAAGGCGACGAUGCAUAGCCGACCUGAGAGGGUGAUCGGCCACACUGGGACUGAGACACGGCCCAGACUCCUACGGGAGGCAGCAGUAGGGAAUCUUCCGCAAUGGGCGAAAGCCUGACGGAGCAACGCCGCGUGAGUGAAGAAGGAUUUCGGUUCGUAAAGCUCUGUUGUUAGGGAAGAAUGGAUAUGUAGUAACUAUACAUGUAAGAGACGGUACCUAACCAGAAAGCCACGGCUAACUACGUG